rnacentral:RNase_P_RNA from 3 species
AAAGUUUGACAGACAAUCGCUGGUGAUGCUUAAGGCAUCACGAGAGGAAAGUCCGGGCUCCAUAGGGCAGGGUGCUGGAUAACGUCCAGUCAGCGCGAGUUGAAGGAUAGUGCCACAGAAAUGGACCGCCGAUGGCUGUGUAAGCAGCACAGGCAAGGAUGGAACCGAGGUGUAAGAGACCCCGAGGAACGCUGGUGACUUCGUUCCUGGUAAACCCCACUUGGAGCAAGACCUAAUGGAACGCAGCUUCUCUAUAAAGAUAAGCAACCUUAGCCCGAGGUGCGUUUAGGUUGGUCGCUUGAGCCGCUCAGCAAUGUUCGGCCUAGAUAGAUGAUUGUCGUUUAGAGUGGGAGGGUAGUUCCCGUAUGUACCACGAAGAACACAGGACCCGGCUUACGGCAAACUUUCAUA